AACGACUCUCGGCAACGGAUAUCUCGGCUCUCGCAUCGAUGAAGAACGUAGCUAAAUGCGAUACUUGGUGUGAAUUGCAGAAUCCCGUGAACCAUCGAGUCUUUGAACGCAAGUUGCGCCCGAAGCCUUCGGGCCAAGGGCACGCCUGCCUGGGCGUCACGCA
rnacentral:rRNA from 1 species